GCCAUUAUUUUUAAUAAAAGAUAAUUCUGUCAUUUUUUUAUUACGACAAUACUUCCGUUUUGGGGUCCACCAAUGAUUGUGCCGUCGUACGAAUAUUCCCUGCUAAAAUGAAUAUUCACUGACCAAUCAAAUAUUAUAUAACCACUUGCUUACUUUAAAAAAUUUAUAAAUAUUACCCACAACUAUAACAUUAUAUCAAAU
rnacentral:lncRNA from 1 species